rnacentral:lncRNA from 1 species
CAUGAAUACAUUUUACUUUUUGAAAAAAGUGAAAUGAAUAGCCAUGUGUUUUCCACUGCUUUGCAUGAUGUACUUAUGUUGUAUUUUUUUGAAACUUGCCUAUAGGUCAGUUAUCUUCAAAUGUAAAUUCAGGAUUUGAGGAGACUCAAUAGAAAACAUGCCUUAGAACCAAUGGAGAGAUUGAUUCAGAACCAAUUGAGAGAUGGGCAUAGCUCUAUGAAGAAUAAGCCUCUCCACGUUCAACAAUCCUGUUCUCAUAGGCUUAAUGGACCCCGAUUACUCACAGGGAUGCAUAGAGUAGUCCCUUUAGGGGAAUAAUAAGGAGGAUGAUGACUUCUUGGAAUUACCUGGUCUUCGAACACAUUGCACAUGUUUGGGAAAUGGCUCAAAAUUCAGCACAUUACGGUUUUCCACAUGAAUAAUUGCAGCACGUAAAAACAGGUAUGCCUAGCAACUCUGUAUAAGGAAACACAGCUAAAAGAAAAGAAGGCAAAUGCUGUGUCCUUUUGUGUGGAAAUAUCAGAAGAAAAAAAACACUUGCUGUCUGAAAAACAUAGCAGCUUAUAAAUUCAGAUUAAUCUUAACAUAAAAGAUAAUAAAAUGCAAGUGAAUCUUGAGGGAAAACUUAACACUGAUUGCUGUAAUCUCUGUGGGACCUGUUAUGGGCUAAGCUGUGUCCCUUCAAAAUUAAUAUGUUGAAGCCCUAAACCUCAGUACCUCAGAAGGUGACUGUAUUUGGAGACAGGAUCUUUAAAGAGGUGACUCAGUUAAAUGAACCCAUUGGGAUGGAUCCUGAUUUGAUGUGACUGGUGUCCUUAGAAAAAGAGGGAACAUGGACACACAAAGAGACACCACAGAUGCAGACAAAGAGAAAAGAUCAGGUGAAGAUGAAGUGAGAAGGUGCUGUCUCAAAGCCAAGUAGGAGACUUCAGGAGAAACCAUACCUACUGACACCUUGAUCGUGGACUUCCAGCCUCCAGAACAGAGCAAUAAGGAACCAAACUUCUGUUGUUUAAGCAACUCAAUCUGUAGUACUAUAUUUUGUUAUG